rnacentral:lncRNA from 1 species
AUUCGCAAAAACCUCUUAGGGGGAUAUGUGGGGAGCACAGAGAUCCUAUCGCCCCCAUCAGCACCUCCGAUAUGGGCUUCAGACACUCCUACCUGGAAGAUGGGCAACUGGCAGAAACGCCUUGAGCUGGAAGCAGGAGCGUCAGGUUUGAAUCUCUGCUCCUUCCUUUAUCAACUGUCACUCGGCUGAGUGGACCUUUCUGAGCCAGAGUUCCUUUAUGUAUAAAAUGGAGAUCACCACAUCUACUUUUGAAAAACUGAUGGAGACUGGGCACAGUGGCUCACGCCUGUAAUCCUUGAACUUU